AGAAUCAACGCUGGCGGCGUGCCUAACACAUGCAAGUCGCACGAGAAAGGGUAGCAAUACCUGAGUAAAGUGGCGCACGGGUGAGUAACACGUGACUAAUCUACCCUCGAGUGGGGAAUAACUGAGAGAAAUCUUAGCUAAUACCGCAUAACACUUACGAGUCAAAGCAGCAAUGCGCUUGGGGAGGAGGUCGCGGCCGAUUAGCUAGUUGGCGGGGUAAUGGCCCACCAAGGCGAUGAUCGGUAUCCGGCCUGAGAGGGCGCACGGACACACUGGAACUGAAACACGGUCCAGACUCCUACGGGAGGCAGCAGUGGGGAAUUUUGCGCAAUGGGGGAAACCCUGACGCAGCAACGCCGCGUGGAGGAUGAAAUAUCUUGGUAUGUAAACUCCUUUCGAUGGGGAAGAUUAUGACGGUACCCAUAGAAGAAGCCCCGGCUAACUUCGUGCCAGCAGCCGC
rnacentral:rRNA from 1 species